rnacentral:hammerhead_ribozyme from 1 species
AUGCAGCUGACGAGUCCCAAAUAGGUCGAAACAUGCGUCCUGGAU